rnacentral:rRNA from 1 species
CAUCAGGUAACACGAAAUCGUACCCCAAACCGACACAGGUGGUCAGGUAGAGAAUACCAAGGCGCUUGAGAGAACUCGGGUGAAGGAACUAGGCAAAAUGGUGCCGUAACUUCGGGAGAAGGCACGCUGAUAUGUAGGUGAAGUGAUUUACUCAUGGAGCUGAAAUCAGUCGAAGAUACCAGCUGGCUGCAACUGUUUAUUAAAAACACAGCACUGUGCAAACACGAAAGUGGACGUAUACGGUGUGACGCCUGCCCGGUGCCGGAAGGUUAAUUGAUGGGGUUAUCCGUAAGGAGAAGCUCUUGAUCGAAGCCCCGGUAAACGGCGGCCGUAACUAUAACGGUCCUAAGGUAGCGAAAUUCCUUGUCGGGUAAGUUCCGACCUGCACGAAUGGCGUAAUGAUGGCCAGGCUGUCUCCACCCGAGACUCAGUGAAAUUGAACUCGCUGUGAAGAUGCAGUGUACCCGCGGCAAGACGGAAAGACCCCGUGAACCUUUACUAUAGCUUGACACUGAACACUGGUCCUUGAUGUGUAGGAUAGGUGGGAGGCUUUGAAGUGUGGACGCCAGUCUGCAUGGAGCCAACCUUGAAAUACCACCCUUUAAUGGCUGGUGUUCUAACGUAGACCCGUAAUCCGGGUUGCGGACAGUGUCUGGUGGGUAGUUUGACUGGGGCGGUCUCCUCCUAAAGAGUAACGGAGGAGCACGAAGGUUAGCUAAUCCUGGUCGGACAUCAGGAGGUUAGUGCAAAGGCAUAAGCUAGCUUGACUGCGAGAGUGACGGCUCGAGCAGGUGCGAAAGCAGGUCUUAGUGAUCCGGUGGUUCUGAAUGGAAGGGCCAUCGCUCAACGGAUAAAAGGUACUCCGGGGAUAACAGGCUGAUACCGCCCAAGAGUUCAUAUCGACGGCGGUGUUUGGCACCUCGAUGUCGGCUCAUCACAUCCUGGGGCUGAAGUAGGUCCCAAGGGUAUGGCUGUUCGCCAUUUAAAGUGGUACGCGAGCUGGGUUUAGAACGUCGUGAGACAGUUCGGUCCCUAUCUGCCGUGGGCGCUGGAGAAUUGAGGGGGGCUGCUCCUAGUACGAGAGGACCGGAGUGGACGCAUCACUGGUGUUCGGGUUGUCAUGCCAAUGGCAUUGCCCGGUAGCUAAAUGCGGAAGAGAUAAGUGCUGAAAGCAUCUAAGCACGAAACUUGCCCCGAGAUGAGUUCUCCCUGACCCUUUAAGGG